rnacentral:rRNA from 1 species
UACGUAGGGUGCGAGCGUUGUCCGGAAUUACUGGGCGUAAAGAGCUCGUAGGCGGUUUGUCGCGUCGUCCGUGAAAACUUGGGGCUCAACCCCAAGCUUGCGGGCGAUACGGGCAGACUUGAGUACUGCAGGGGAGACUGGAAUUCCUGGUGUAGCGGUGAAAUGCGCAGAUAUCAGGAGGAACACCGGUGGCGAAGGCGGGUCUCUGGGCAGUAACUGACGCUGAGGCACGAAAGCGUGGGUAGCAAACAGG